CAGUGAGGAGUUUCUGCUGCACUGGACAGCCUUAAGCUGACUGGUGGUAAAAGCUCUAGUUAGGUGUAGCUGGGGCAGUAGACAUUUUUAGAAGACAAUAAUACCCAUACUUUAAUUUAUUAUAAAAGGAGUGUUUACUAUCAUGCCAGUUAGGAUUUACAUUGAAGGCAUCACCUGUUGUUUGUUUAUUACUUACAAUCCAAUGAAUUACUAUCAUCGUGUUCUCCUUGUGUAGAUUGUGUGGAUCUUUUCUAGCUUACUACGUGAUGUUCCUGUUGAUCCUAUCAUCUGGUCUUGCAGGUUAAGGAUUCAGGCUGCGGUGUUCUCCCACAAGAUAUACCAAUUCUCUUUACCAAAUUUGCACAGCCUCGAAGUGGAAAUAGCAGUGGUGCGGGGCUUGGACUUGCCAUUUGUAGAAGGUUUGUAAAUUUGAUAGGAGGCCACAUAUGGAUUGAGAGUGAGGGCCUUGACAAAGGCUGCACAGUAACAUUCCUUGUCAAACUUGGGAUCUGCAGCAAUCCCGAUGAUUCAGCUAUCCAUCACGCUUCAUUGCAAGUUAGAGCAUAUCAUGGAAGUGCAGAUCUGAGUGGACAGAAACCUAUAUUAAGAGAUCACGGUCAUCGAGCUAUCUCAUCCAAUCCCAAUGCACGAUACCAAAGAAACCUUUAGAGUUGCAAUGAGAGAAAUACGACUUACACUAUUUUCUUAUUUUCAUAUCAUUUGAAGUGAUGAUUGCUGAUUAAAGUGAAUUAAUUGGUUGCUGAUGCAGCAACAAUUGGAAUGAUAGAAUUGUUGUACGGUUUCGAGGCUGUAACCCAUCUUCCUCAGUUUGUAAACGAUAAAAAAUUGCGUGGUUGUUUCGGAA